rnacentral:rRNA from 1 species
GACGAACGCUGGCGGCGUGCUUAACACAUGCAAGUCGAACGGAAAGGCCCUGCUUUUGUGGGGUGCUCGAGUGGCGAACGGGUGAGUAACACGUGAGUAACCUGCCCUUGACUUUGGGAUAACUUCAGGAAACUGGGGCUAAUACCGGAUAUGAGCUCCUGCUGCAUGGUGGGGGUUGGAAAGUUUCGGCGGUUGGGGAUGGACUCGCGGCUUAUCAGCUUGUUGGUGGGGUAGUGGCUUACCAAGGCUUUGACGGGUACCCGGCCUGAGAGGGUGACCGGCGACAUUGGGACUGAGGGACGGCAGCGACUCGUACGGGAGGCAGCAGGGGGGAAUAUUGCACGAGGGGCGGAAGCCGGAUGCAGAAACGCCGCGGGCGGGAUGACGGCCUUCGGGGUGUAAACCGCUUUCGCCUGUGACGAAGCGUGAGUGACGGUAAUGGGUAAAGAAGGACCGGCUAACUACGGG